GGAGGGAGUUUCGAGGACUAACGAGACCCCUGGUGCACGUAAGGACGGCAGGGUGAGCAGGGCGCUUCCAGGAGACCGAGCGAGUCAGCCGUAUGGCGGUGCUGAGCGACAUCACGUUAUUGGGCUCAGCUAGUGGUCGCUCCAUGUCCUCGUCAGCUGUGAGAAACACCAUCACUUUGUUUCUCCUGCAGCUUCAUGUGGCAAGAAUCACAUUACAGAGAGUACACGUGAGCAGACGAGCCCACACAGAUCGC
ensembl:lncRNA